rnacentral:rRNA from 1 species
CACGUAGGGCGCAAGCGUUGUCCGGAAUUAUUGGGCGUAAAGAGCUCGUAGGCGGUCUGUUGCGUCCGCUGUGAAAACUCGGGGCUUAACCCCGAGCCUGCAGUGGAUACGGGCAGACUAGAGGUAGGUAGGGGAGAAUGGAAUUCCCGGUGUAGCGGUGGAAUGCGCAGAUAUCGGGAGGAACACCGAUGGCGAAGGCAGGUCUCUGGGCAUUAACUGACGCUGAGGAGCGAAAGCAUGGGGAGCGAACAGG